UUGUUCUCAUUCUCUUCCUCUCCUCUCUCACUCGGUUGCCUCUCCCCCUCUCUAUACUCCUCCAGCUGGUGAAGACCGGCGGACCAGCAACAACUUUGGUGAGGCUAGCAGCCGUUGGCCGCCUCGGCUUCUUCCUCUUUCUCUCCCUUCUCCCUCCCUCUUCUUAUCUUCCUCUCCAGGCGAGGAGCAGUAGCAGCCGAUACCAUCGGCAUCUUCUGCAGAAACUACCAAACAGACCGCCGGUAGCAGCAAAUGCGAAGGCGUAACUCUCUCUCCACCUUCCUCUUCUUUUUUAUUCUCCUCUCUUUGCUGGACCACCACCACCACCAGUGCAACGAGCAACCCAACAACAUCAACAACAACAACUCCAGUGAAGGAGGAAGUUGCAUGAGGCCAGUGACGACAACAGAAAACAGCAAUGUCCCCAACCAAGCGAAGCUCUGACAAAAACUGCCUUCUCCACCAGCAGCUCCGGCCAUGGAACUUCAGUGAGGGCCGAGUUUAAAUAUGAAGAUGGCAGAUCUCAACAGAUCCGUCCGGAUCCGUCAUUUCUCCCGCCAUGGAGCGCUUAUCCACUUGGUUUUUUCUGUGUUCGGGCCUAUAUCGAAUCAAAUUGGGUCUUCACUGCUGAUAAAUAAUAAGGAAAGAUGUCCAAGUUUGAAAAUGCACAAGGCAUAUAGAAAAAAGUGCAGAUUUGCGACCUACGAAGGCCAUCGAUGGACAGUAGGUGUUGACAAUUGAUGGUAGUUCAAGGCUAAAGGAGAAGAUCAGGGAGAUUUGACUAAGUGUAGAACCACGAGAGUAAACGAUGAUCCUUAUAUUGAUCAACGGACCGUACUGGUGAACUAUCAAUUGGUUUAGUGAAGGUUCUAGUACCUGACUUUUUCAAGAUUCUAUGUAUGGAACGACAGAAGAGCAUCGAUGGGGUGUAGAUGAAUCGACGGACCGUAUUGCUGGUACGUCAUUUGAUUUAGAGAAGGUGUUGGCCAGUGAAGAAAAAUUAUUCCAAGUAUGGACUGACGAGGAAAUCGAUGAAUCGUCGUUCCAUUGACAGUUCUACAGCGAGAUCUUUGUUUGAAUUCGUGUUUUUGGACAAAACUUUUCUUAUUUUAUUUCUUUUUAUUUAGGACUAUGUUUUCUAUAAAUAGGGGAUUAAAACCUCAUUUUUUGGGGUUAGAUACUUUUGGUAUUAUUUUAUUUUGCGUUGGAGAUUGUUGGUUGCAAACUUUUAGCAAUUAAUCGAUUUAUGGAUUCUUGUUGAAGGAUUUUUCUUGCAAUUUUUAAGUUGAAUUUCUGAGUUUCUUCUUAUUGUGAAGUAAGUUCAUGAAUUCUUUCUUAAAAACCAUGAAUUGUGAUCUUGCUUGAAUGGGUAACUAAAUCCACAACUAGGGUUGAGGGAAACAUGGAUAAUUAACAAAGUAAACCUAGCAAAUAAGUAAUUCUCAAAUAGGUUCUUGCAUGUUUUGAUAAUUCUUUCGUUUAGAAGUCUUUUUAAUGAGUGCACGCGUUAGAUUUCGCCUUAUUGCUACUUGCCGUACCAAG
rnacentral:lncRNA from 1 species